ACUGACUGUUGGAUCUCUUCAUAUUUUACAGUGAUGAGAUUUUCUGCUUCUGAGGAAGUGAAGAAGAACCUGACGGGCACUGUGGGAGGAAACAUCACUCUACCUGACUCUGUGCAGGAGAAAGACGUAGGAUUUCUGUCAUAUGAAAGAAAGAAUAUUGCUCAUGUGAUUAAGGGGGAAUUUCAAGUAUUUGUGGAAAAGUACAAGAACAGACUUCAGUGGGACAGAAACUCUGGACUCUUUACACUCACAGAGCUGCAGAGGGACGACUCAGGGAUUUAUGUCAUUCAGUCUAAAACAGGAAAAGUUUUCACAUCAUCAUAUGAGCUCACAGUGUACGACUCUGUACCGACUCCUGCAGUGAAGAAAGUGAGUGGAAAGAGAUGUGUGGCUGCAAACUCUGCAGAGGAGAAAACUCUUCCUGUCCAUGUGAGAACCACCUGUGGAGACACCAACAACAACGACACCAACAGCUCGACUGAACCAAGAAACUAUAACAUCCUCAUUAUAAUCUGUGUCCUGUUGGUUGUGAUCAUACUUGCUGCUUUUAUCAUCAAGUUAUCAAGUAUCUUCAGACAAGGAAGAAGAAAAAGUACGAGAACUAUUAACAACAAUCUGAAUAUAGUAUCAGCUGGAGGCACAUGAUGCUCAGACUCUGGUGAUGAUGUUUGGGUGAACAACAAAUCAGGUCAUCAGCCAGUUUCUACGUCUGUUAAAGUCGUGUUAUUAAGUCUGGAGCUGAUAUUUUUUUACCUGACAAAUUAUUAUGGAUCCUUUAGAGGAGAAAACAUAAUACUGAUAUCAUUCAAGCAUAAUUUCUGGAAGAGUUUAAUGUUUCGACAGCAGCUAUUGUGGUGCUAAGAUAUUAUAAAAGAUAUUAUGGUGACUUUUUAUACACUACUGUUAGCUCUGCAGCAUCGAUUCAUGGUGGAAAUGUUUGUUUCUAAAGGAAAUGACAAAAAUCAGUCUGCAGAUGGUAAAUGGCCUGUAUUUAUACAGCGCUUUACUAGUCCCUAAGGACCCCAAAGCAC